AUGGGGGUGUCAGGGCGCGAGCAGGCUCGCUCUUCACCCUUGAGGGAGAGGAGCGCAUUCGUGCGGCCUGGUACGACGCGCAUUUGUGGGGACACCGGGUGUGCAGAGAGGAGUGUUAAAGCAUUAUUUCGAGCUGUGCAGCUUAAACUCUGGUCAACGGGGGAGCAGAGAAGUCAAAGGCAUCGCUGUAGCAAGCAAGUUCUAAACCUCAAUCAUGUCAUUGAUCCACCCUCAAAUGCCCUUUCCUGCGAGUUCCUCGUGGCAAGGCCUGGUCUGCGGGAGAUGGACAGAAUAACGGGGUGUUGUGCUCUCCUCCUGGUUCCUGCUUGGGCAGUGCACAUUUGGACAGGCAAUCACACCAGCAGAUUCCCAAAAGGAUCAGUAUUGAAAGCAGGACUUCAGAUGAAUUCAUGUGCAAUCAAGGUCAAAGCUAAAGUUUGGUGACACAAGCUUCUUUUGGUCCCUUUGUAGCCUGGCUGUCAGUUACGGGAGACAUUACGAGUAUGCAGCUUCACGUCUCCCUGUGAAUAUUGCUAAUCAUUUACUAGUAUCUGAGGCAUGUACUGGUACAAAAGAGGUGUACCCUAGCUCCUGUGCUCUUCUCCUCAGUUAAUUACCAUACAAACAGGGAGCUGGCAUACUUGGAAGGACUAUUGACUAUGCAAGUAAUUAGCUGCAGUAAAUAUAGGAGAGAAGACAGCUAGCAGGUUUUUAGAUGUUACUUGCUGCUAAGGAAAACUGUUUUCUUUGUUACUGUCUUUUGUGUGAAGGCCAGGAGCUUACCAACUCAGGUUCGAACUCCUCAGAGGCUGCAGGGCAAUGGAGUGUGCAUGUAAUUAUUUGACAGCCUGCAAAGGGGCAGAUGUAUGCAGGCAAAAGUCGAAAGCCAAAGGAUGGUUUGAAGGCUAGCUUUAUGGUUUGUUUGUUUGCUUUAACGUGUAUCAUUUUGCACCUGGUAUUUACAGCGAAGCCCACAAAUAGUUGUAUUAUCACAGAUUAUCUCAGAUUUUCUAUACAGCCUAAAAAUAAGGAGCUUGGCAUGGCAGAAGACUCUCCUUUUAACUCCAUUUCUGUCAUUCAUAUGACAAAGUGACACACUGCAUCCUAACUGUACAGAGCUGAGAGCAUUGGUGCCUUUUGAUCUCCCAGGGCUAGGGGAGCCUAGAUAUGGUUCUCAACCACGUAAAGGCAUUCCAGGAGCUGGCCUUUUCUUAACUGUAAUUUUAAAAGCUAGGUAG
rnacentral:lncRNA from 1 species